GUCCCUGUCGAUUAGUGGUUAAAUCAUGACGUUGUGGUUUACACAGUACCGUCAAGCCGCCGGCUCGACUCCGGCCAGGGACA